GAUGUAGCUCAGUGGUAGAGCAGCCCUGGGUUCAAAUCCCAGUAACAUCA
rnacentral:tRNA from 1 species